rnacentral:tRNA from 1 species
GCACUAGUGGUUCAGUGGUAGAAUACUCGCCUGCCACGCGGGUGACCCGGGUUCGAUUCCCGGCCAGUGCA